rnacentral:rRNA from 1 species
GAGUUUGAUCGUGGCUCAGGAUGAACGCUGGCGGCGUGCCUAAUACAUGCAAGUCGAACGAACAGAUAAGGAGCUUGCUCCUUUGACGUUAGCGGCGGACGGGUGAGUAACACGUGGGUAACCUACCUAUAAGACUGGGAAUAACUCCGGGAAACCGGGGCUAAUGCCGGAUAACAUGUUGAACCGCAUGGUUCUACAGUGAAAGACGGUCUUGCUGUCACUUAUAGAUGGACCCGCGCCGUAUUAGCUAGUUGGUGGGGUAACGGCCUACCAAGGCGACGAUACGUAGCCGACCUGAGAGGGUGAUCGGCCACACUGGAACUGAGACACGGUCCAGACUCCUACGGGAGGCAGCAGUAGGGAAUCUUCCGCAAUGGGCGAAAGCCUGACGGAGCAACGCCGCGUGAGUGAUGAAGGUCUUCGGAUCGUAAAGCUCUGUUGUUAGGGAAGAACAAAUGUGUAAGUAACUGUGCAUAUCUUGACGUACCUAACAGAAGCCACGGCUAACUACGUGCCAGCCG